rnacentral:rRNA from 1 species
UACGAAGGGGGCUAGCGUUGCUCGGAAUCACUGGGCGUAAAGCGCACGUAGGCGGGUCGUUAAGUCGGGGGUGAAAUCCUGGAGCUCAACUCCAGAACUGCCUUCGAUACUGGCGACCUUGAGUCCGGGAGAGGUGAGUGGAACUCCGAGUGUAGAGGUGAAAUUCGUAGAUAUUCGGAAGAACACCAGUGGCGAAGGCGGCUCACUGGCCCGGUACUGACGCUGAGACGCGAAAGCGUGGGGAGCGAACAGG